ACCAAUCGCUGACCCUGUUACUGGUGCUAUGCUGUGCUUACAGACAAGAGCCUAGCAUGUCUGUCCUCUGAGAGGCUCUACCAGCAGAUGACUGGGACAGAGAGAUACUCAAGGCCAAGCACUGGACUGAGUUCCAAACUCGAGCUCUCAGCUUGCUGGUGUAGCCGCCAUGCCUUCCCACCAUGAUAGUGAUGGACUCAUUCCUCUGGGACACUUUGCUCAUAUAAACCAUUCUUUAUAUUCUACACUGUGACUGUCUUCUUCUCAACACCUGCACAGCAGGUCCCCAGAAGAUCAACUUGCAGAGAGGUUCACGGACUUCAUGAAAAGCGCUUCUGAUGACCCCAGUAAGGUUUGCUGGGGUCACUUUUACCAGGCUGAAGAUGGCAUCUUAAGACCAACAUACAGGCAAAUAAAUUAAAGAUUUGAACCUGACAU
rnacentral:sRNA from 1 species